UACGGGGGGGCAAGCGUUGUUCGGAAUUACUGGGCGUAAAGGGCUCGUAGGCGGCCAACUAAGUCGGACGUGAAAUCCCCAGGCUCAACCUGGGAACUGCGUCCGAUACUGGAUGGCUUGAAUUCGGGAGAGGGAUGCAGAAUUCCAGGUGUAGCGGUGAAAUGCGUAGAUAUCGGGAGGAACACCUGUGGCGAAAGCGGCGCACUGGACCAUAACUGAUGGCUGAUGCGCGAAAGCUAAGGGGAGCAAACAGG
rnacentral:rRNA from 1 species